CCUGUACAAACUGAAAUUGACCUUUGUCACCAUUCCUAAGGUUUUUACCCCAUAACUCGAUAACAUUCAGUCAUAGAUAGUCCAAACUAUACCUUUUUGGAAUCUUUAUGAUCAGACAAAUAAUGAGACAUAGGUUUCAACAUGAUAGGAGCAUUUUAAAAUUUUGACCCCUGUGUAAUUCUUUAUUGACCCCUAUAGCUCAUUAGAGGUCAGCUCCAGGAUGGCUCCAUAUCUGAAAAUAAACAUUAGCUAAUUU